CGUAUUACAAAGAGUUGCAAUGUGGUAACAUGGAGCGAAUCUCAAAAAGAUAGUCUCAGUUCGGACUGUGGGCUGCAACCCGCCCACACGAAGUUGGAGUUGCUAGUAAUCCCGAAUCAGCAUGUCGGGGUGAAUGCGUUCCCGGGUCUUGUACACACCGCCCGUCAAGCCAUGGGAGUUGGGAGUGCCCGAAGCCGGUGACCAAACCAAUAAGGAAGGAGCCGUCGAAGGCAGGUCUGAUAACUGGGGUGAAGUCGUAACAAGGUACC
rnacentral:rRNA from 1 species